UUUGAAGGCCUAAUUUUUUAUAUUGUUUUCAUAAGACAAGAAAUGACGCCAUUGGACAAAGGAAUAACGCCAGGGGUUAAACAGAUCACUUUCUGAUAGAAAUGAGCAUUGAGUCAAUGCUAGAAAUGUAUGAAAUUUGACUGAUGGACUGAAGCUUGCUUUUGCGUUCCUCAAGAGAAAACGCAUGGCAGGAACCGCAUUCUCCCGCAAAAAGGUCAAGAUGCAACGCUCUGGUGCCCUACCUCUCCAAGGCAAUUGGGAAACAUGGAUCAAAAUCAGGAUUUAUUUUGCUUUUGGAAAUUAGCUUUUUUUGUUUACAAGAAUUCUUCUCGUAUAAUAAACUAUAACAUGCAAGGAUACGCUCUUUCACGACACACUCUUUCAUUGACUAUUUCUUGUGUCAUGGGCAGGACAUGAAUAAUCCUCAUAACAAAUUAUUUGCUUUCUUUUUCUCGUUAAAUAUGGAAAUAAAUAAUUGACUCUAACAUUCUAAAGUUUUUGCAAUGACAACCUUUGAUAGAGUCAUUAUCGAGUCAUUAUCAUGGUCUGAAUUAAACUAUUCACUUUCAAACGUUUAGUUUGGAAGUAUUAAUUCCAUUUGAAUAAGAAAAAUAAUUUAAACUGAUUUUUUGGACAGUAUACGCUUAUCGAUUAUAUAAUAAGCAGAA